rnacentral:rRNA from 1 species
UACGUAGGGUGCAAGCGUUGUCCGGAAUUAUUGGGCGUAAAGAGCGUGUAGGCGGCCCGAUUAGUCCGCUGUGAAAGUCCAGGGCUCAACCCUGGAAUGCCGGUGGAUACUGUCGGGCUAGAGUCCGGAAGGGGCGAGUGGAAUUCCUGGUGUAGCGGUGAAAUGCGCAGAUAUCAGGGAGGAACACCAAUAGGCGAAGGCAGCUGCGCUGGGACGUGACUGACGCUGAGAACGCGGAAAGCGUGGGGGAGCAAACAGGAUUCGAGAUACCCC